rnacentral:rRNA from 1 species
GUGAGGAAUAUUGGUCAAUGGGCGCAAGCCUGAACCAGCCAUCCCGCGUGCAGGAAGACGGCCCUAUGGGUUGUAAACUGCUUUUCCGGGGGGAGAAUUUUUCCGUCGUGACGGGAAUUGACGGUACCCCGGGAAUAAGCAUCGACUAACUCCGUGCCAGCAGCCGCGGUAAUACGCAGGAUGCGAGCGUUAUCCGGAUUUAUUGGGUUUAAAGGGUGCGUAGGCGGAAUGAUAAGUCAGUGGUGAAAACCUGCAGCUUAACUGUAGACUUGCAGUUGAUACUGUCAGUCUUGAGUGUGGUCAAGGUAGGCAGAAUGUGUAGUGUAGCGGUAAAAUGCUUAGAUAUUACACAGAACACCGAUUGCGAAGGCAGCUUACUGGGCCAUUACUGACGCUGAUGCACGAAAGCGUGGAGAUCGAACAGGAUUAGAAACCCCGGUAGUCC